AGCGGCGUGGCUCAGUGGAAAGAGCCUGGGCUUUGGAGUCAGAGGUCAUGGGUUCGACUCCCAGCUCUGCCA
rnacentral:tRNA from 1 species